UGUUCUAUUGUCGAAUUAAAAUUAAUAUAUUGUUUAAAAUAAGUAUGAAGUUGAAAUAUUUUUUUUUAUAAAAUUAUCAAAAAAAUGUUGUUUUAUAAUUUUGUGAGAAAAUUUUUAAGAGAAAAGUUAAAUAAUUUAUUAAAAAAGUGUUUAAAGUUUUGCAAAAUGUUAUUGCAAUUAUUGGUCUGCAGCCGGUCGCUGUUUUUCUUUUGUUUGGCCGUUCUUUUUUUUAAGAGAGAAUAUUCCAAGGCGGGAAAAUGUGGAUGGUGUGUUAGUUUGUUGUUAUUAGAGCAAGUGUUUUUGUUUGUUUUAAAUGUAUAUGUGUACAUAUGUAUGUAUGUAAAAGCUGUAUAUUAGUAGAUAUGUACUUAUGAGUGACAAUAAAAAUAAAGUAAAUAAAAAGAGCAAAAUCAUGAAAUCCAAAGACAAUAAAUAUUGGGCGCUGCAUUCGAAGACUUUGUGUGAAAAAGGGAGGAAUCCACAUUUGACCAACGAAUUGAAGGUCUGCAGCCGGUCGGUGUUUUUCUUUUGUUUGGUCAUUCUUUUUGUUAACAGAGGAGACUGCAAGGCGGGAAAAUUUUGUAUGAUGUGUAAAAUGUUGUUGUUAUUAGAGCAAGUGUUUUUUGUUUGUUUAAAAUGUACGUACAUAUGUGUGUAAGUGUGUAUGUAAAAGCUGUAUAUUAAUAUGUAGAUAAAUUAAAUAAAAGAAGCAAAAUCAUAUAAUCCAAAGGCAAUAAAUUUGUGUAAGAUAAAGUAAAUAAAAAGUGCAAAAUCAUGUAAUCCGAAGGCAAUAAAUAUUGGGCGCUCCAUUGGAAGACUUUGUGUGAAAAAUGGAGGAAUCCACAUUUGACCAACAAAUUGAAGCAAGAGUGAGCUGUUGUUGUUGGCUUAAAGAUGAUUUAAUAUUGUGUUAAAGAAAAAAUAAAUAAAUAAAUAAAUAAAUAAAUAAAUAAAUAAAUAAAUAAAUAAAUGGAAAAUCAUGGAAUCUAAAGACAAUAUGUUUUGGACAUUACAAUGAAAAGAUUUAAGCAUAUUAUACUUAACAUUUAGUACACCCUAUACUUGAGUGAAGGAGGGCGAAUCCAUAUCUGACCAACGAAUUGAAG